rnacentral:tRNA from 1 species
GGGUACGGCUCAGUGGUAGAGCGUGUGCUUAGCAUGCACGAGGUCCUGGGUCCAAUCCCCAGUACCUCCA